AUUGACCUCUCUUUUGUUUGAGCACCUCCAUAUCACUUUGUCCUCACCUGUAUACAGACGAGGAGGCAUACAAAGGUAUGUCAAUUGGUAUGUUUUGCAGAUCACAUGUACCAUCCUCCCUUACCUCUUUAAUGAAAAUCCCAUAGGCCUCUACAUUAUGGACAAGGAAACAUGUUCGAUCACCAUGCACUCUAAAAUAAUUCUGGCUAUGGACACGAACAUCAACACAUUAACAUCAACAUGCCAGAGGAUAUACCCGUUGGACUUGGGGCUCUGCUGGGAGUGCAUCAUUUUAGGAUUGUUUUUAUUCUCCUUUGUCACUAAAAUCAUAAUA